CGCGUCGCUUCACGUUGGCGGAAGAUGCUGAUAGAUUAUUGAUGUUCGUGGGCGUUUAAGGAUUUCAGCGAUACCAAACUUGAUUGGUGAAAUAAUCUAACAAUCGCUUAAAAUUGGCUUUAAAACCGCAUUUAUAUUAGUUUGCGUAGCUCCGAUAAAACUUUCCGACAAAACAAAUUUACUGUUUUUCAGGUUCUUUUUACUCCCGCUUGAACACAAACGAACUGAAGUUAAUCCGUGGGGGGGUUUCCCUUUAAACAAGCAAUUGUUUGUUUUUAAAAAGCCGUUUUUGGUCCAAUAAACGGCUUUUUAACAUUGAUUGUAAUGGGUAGAAGUAGGGUCACGAAGUAUUUACUGCCGUAAAUUAAGACGUUGCUGUUUUUAUGUCGUAAAUUCUUUACUGAGGUUCAUGAAUCUACUGAAAGAUAAACAUCUGAACUUUGAAACGACGUAUAACAUGCCCGUGUCUAUGUUUCCGGUCAUCAUGAAAAUAUACAUUAUGUUUAUCUAUUAAUAUUACCAUGCAAACUUGGGUCGCAUACAACCUCUGCGUUUUAAAAAGUUAAAGGUCCGAAGCAUCUCAGGAGCUGCAGAGCCUUCUGUCACAAAUCUUGAUCAAACAAAUGACUGGGCGCUCCUUAAGUGUGUUGUUAAAGGUGCUUCCCCCAAACCUACAGUCGAGUGGUGGGACAGUAACAAUCAAACCAUUCCUUCAGAGGAGCCACAGGUCUCUAAAAAAGGAGAGCGCUUUUACGUCACCCUCAAAACUAAUGUGACAAAGACCGACCGCUAUCACUGUGUCGCCACACAGAAGGAAAUCUGGCAUCAGGCACAUACGGAAAUCAAUGUGCGUUUGAAUGAACCAAACACUGGAUUGAUUGUAGCUGUUGCUGGUCUUGCUGUUGUUCUUGCGGUUGUAGUAGUUGGGAUUCUUGUCUGGUGUUACUUCAAGAAUAAAAAAAAAAGACAAGAAGAAACAGAAUCCCCCCUUCGAGAAACAGAGAAUCAACACUGAUCAAAGUGAACCCAAAGUGUGAAGUACAGUGUGUGUGUAGCUUAUGUGUUUGUUUUAUGAGAACCAAGUUAAGCUUUUGAGCAGAACAGUGACGACAUGUUGGAUUAUUUUUGGUAUUUUCAGCAGUUUAAAAGUUCAGAACAGAUUUUAAUCCUGUGGUUUAGCACAUGGUUAAAAGUCAGGAUGGAGGGAUGUAGCCAUUUUUGUUAUACUUUCAUCCUAAUCACCCCAUAUUUUUAUAUAAAAAUAAAAGUAUAAAUGACUCAUAGUGCUCAAUACUUGAUACACAAACCCCGUUCAAAAACAAAUUUUGUCACAUUCACAGUACAACAUAUAGUGAAAUGCUUGUGUCCUGAACUGCAGACGUAGCUGCGCCAUUCCAGGGCUGGUUUUUAGCAUGGGGGAUGCCAGGGCCCUGACUGGAUACCCACCCGGUAUCCAGAGGUGUGUAGUCUUACAACUAGCUGCCUGUCUAAUGGCAUCUUUUCAACAUUGAAACAGGGCAUUUGGUGAUUUUUUUUUUUUCUAUUUGAAUGAAAACAGAUGCAGUGCAUCAAUGCUUUCUUCAUGAAAUAAAAACUGUUGUAUUUAUUCCAUAAGAGAUCAGAGGUCCUCCUCCUGUUUUUUUCCUCUUCUGCAGCAGUUUAAUAGGACUGAGCAGAGAAAUGGCUCCACCUGCUCUUGGUACAUAACAUGUUACUAAUAAAGAAAACUACUUUUAGCUGCACCGUUGCCACAGCGGGUAGCGCCGCAUGUUUGAUUUGGACACACAAUCAAUACUCUGGAUGGAUUUGUGUUUCCAGCUGUGCUCAUAUUUCAGUAAAUAUCUAAAUAAUAUUUAAAAAGAAAUUUGUCUGAUAACAGCAAAUAACAACUGUAGAAUGCUCCAAACAAGGAAAACGUUUUUCUUUUGUUUUCUAACCCUAAAUGUACAUUAACUAUAACCCUGAGCUGGUCUGCUGUAAAUAAAUGUGAAUCAGGA